GCGCUGCCUUUGAGCCCCUGCCGCGCCUGCGCGUGGCGCCGGGUUCAGGCUGCACGCAUGCGCUUGCGCAUAACUGGACCCGCCAGGUCCUCCCCCCCGCCCCCGGCGGCCCUUAUAACCGUGAGCUACACGG
ensembl:snoRNA